UUCCUCUAAAACAGUGGCUCUGGAUGUGCAGUAUGUUUCUUAGGGCUUGCCACUGAGAGCAGCGACCUUUUCCUGAAGCAGCUUUUCAUAAACACCCAUGGUUACUUUGUGACACAGUGAUGCCUACAUCUAAGCAACAUGACUCCAAGAACUGGGGAAGAGGAAGGUGCAGUUCAGUAAUAUGGGUGGUACAACAGCCCUGCCUGGUCAUCUGGUGGGAAUGGAGUUCAGAGAGAAGCUUCAACACCGUUGAAUCCUGAGUGUCCUGGUCAAGUUAAGCUGCUCUGAAACACUACAUAUCCUUACAGCACUUCAAGAUGCAGAAGUUACUACCUGGCUUCAUGAGGCCCUGAAAUCUGAUGAGCUGCUUUUACUCAGAGGGCACCAAGCACCGUGGUGCUCACCUUCCUGCUGUGUGUAGUUGUCUUUGUGGAGAAGCUAAGCAGACAGAAAAGACGCGUGAGUGACAAGCACGUCUCAGCCAUGUCUUAGAUGGAGUCUUAGAUGGAGUAUGGAAGUACACUCACUCUUAUUUACCCCAGACUAGCAUUACUCACAUUGUUCUCAACAGUGAAAAGCUUCAAACCCUGCUUAGGCCUGUGUUUCCUGAAAAUUGUUUCCAGAAGGGCAGGGCUGUUAGCAGGUGUGUGCGUGAAAGUCAGACGUCUCCAGCAACACCGAGAUCUGGCACUAACUAGUAUUUAGAAAGUAACCAUAGUAAUGGUGUUUGCAUAAGAGAGGACAGAAAUGCACAGAGAGGAGGAAGCGACAGACAAAAAUACCUUUUGCAACCUCACGUCCUCUUGUGGAAAUCCCCCACCUAUGUGGAGCAUUUGUAAUGAAAAGCUGGCACUCGUUGCCCGUUUACUCAAGCUCACAGGCACUGAAGUCAUAGGGCAGGCUUUUUUUUUAUUUCACAUUUUGAUUCGAGCCAGUGCCAGAGAACACCCAUCCGUUUGGAAAGAACCUGAAUGCGUCAGCAGGUAUGGGCAGGGUAUCCACAGUCUUGUUUUCAUGCUGUCAGAGUCUACUGCUAGUUCCACAAAACGACAGGUGGGAGGAUGCACGCCACAUGCGCACACGCACGUGCAGCUGCAUUGUGGAGGCACACUGCAGCACUGACAUUCAGGGAGCGGGAGAAGAGCCAGCAUGAAAAGAAACAGCACCACACUAAUUUCUUCUCUUUUAAUUAACAUUUGGCGAGUUUGGAGAGAAGCCCAGGCUGCAAAAUUUGGAUGCAGAAUUCAAAGAGCUCCGAAACUGGAAAUGUUCGCAUACAGGCUCCUUAUUUUUGCCUCGUCCUGUUUAUAGGUCAUGCAGAGACUACUUAAUUGCUCAUACUGUAACUCACAAUUAGUGACAGUUCUUCACUGUAUGUCAGCUUGCAGCAGAGCUACGCUCCUAAAAACGCGUGGCAAUGUUUAAUAGCAAGCGGAUAUUUACUUCUCUUUUCAAGGAUUUUUCCCUGAGACCCCUCUAUUUCAUGAGGAGCAAAAGCUGUUAAUGUCAUCAGCAGAAGGAAACGGUGAUACUUUAAUCAGAUCUGGGAGUUGUUUGUAAAAGGAAGUAGUUUCUCAAAUUCAUGUGAACUUCAACUUCCCUGCACAGCUCUCAUCGACACAAGUUCAAGGAACUACCUCAUGUCUCAUUACUGAUGUACUGAAUUCUUGGCAUAGGAUUGAAUAGCCACUAUUAAACGCUUGCAAUGUG
rnacentral:lncRNA from 1 species